UACGUAGGGUCCGAGCGUUGUCCGGAAUUAUUGGGCGUAAAGGGCUCGUAGGCGGUUCGUCACGUCGGGAGUGAAAACUCGGGGCUUAACCCCGAGCCUGCUUCCGAUACGGGCAGACUAGAGGUAGGUAGGGGAGAGCGGAACUCCUGGUGUAGCGGUGGAAUGCGCAGAUAUCAGGAAGAACACCGGUGGCGAAGGCGGCUCUCUGGGCCUUACCUGACGCUGAGGAGCGAAAGCGUGGGUAGCGAACAGG
rnacentral:rRNA from 1 species